rnacentral:rRNA from 1 species
UACGAAGGGGACUAGCGUUGUUCGGAAUCACUGGGCGUAAAGCGCACGUAGGCGGAUUUGUAAGUCAGGGGUGAAAUCCCGGGGCUCAACCUCGGAACUGCCUUUGAUACUGCGAAUCUAGAGUCCGAUAGAGGUGGGUGGAAUUCCCGGUGUAGAGGUGAAAUUCGUAGAUAUCGGGAGGAACACCGGUGGCGAAGGCGGCGACCUGGGUCGAGACUGACGCUGAGGCGCGAAAGCGUGGGGAGCAAACAGG